GAUGAAGAACGCAGCGAAAUGCGAUAAGUAGUGUGAAUUGCAGACUUUAGUGAAUCAUCGAAUCUUUGAACGCACAUUGCGCCCCUUGGUAUUCCAUGGGGCAUGCCUGUUCGAGCGUCAUUUGUACCUUCAAGCUUUGCUUGGUGUUGGGUGUUUGUCUCGCCUUUGCGUGUAGACUCGCCUUAAAAUAAUUGGCAGCCGGCGUAUUGAUUUCGGAGCGCAGUACAUCUCGCGCUUUGCACUCAUAACGACAGCGUCCAAAAGUACAUUUUACACUCUUGACCUCGGAUCAGGUAGGGAUACCCGCUGAACUUAAGCAUAUCAAUAAGCGGAGGA
rnacentral:misc_RNA from 1 species